rnacentral:rRNA from 1 species
AGUUACCAGCACGUUAUGGUGGGCGACUCUAAGGAGACUGCCGGUGACAAACCGGAGGAAAGGUGGGGAUGACGUCAAGUCAUCAUGGCCCUUACGGCCUGGGCUACACACGUGCUACAAUGGUCGGUACAAAGGGUUGCCAAGCCGCGAGGUGGAGCUAAUCCCAUAAAACCGACCGUAGUCCGGAUCGCAGUCUGCAACUCGACUGCGUGAAGUCGGAAUCGCUAGUAAUCGUGAAUCAGAAUGUCACGGUGAAUACGUUCCCGGGCCUU